GUCCUUUAGAUAUUAAUUUAAGGUCUAACCUGCCCACUGAAUUAUUUUUAAAUGGCCGCAGUAAUUUGACUGUGCAAAGGUAGCAUAAUCAUUAGUUUUUUAAUUAAAAGCUUGUAUGAAAGGUUGGACGAAGUAAAAUCUGUCUCUAAUUAAAUUAAUUUAGAAUUUAACUUUUAAGUUAAAAGGCUUAAAUUUAACUAAAAGACGAGAAGACCCUAUAGAUCUUUAUAUUUUAAUUAUUAGAUUUAAUUAUGAAUUUUUUAAAUUUUAUUAGUUAAGUUAUUUUAUUGGGGUAAUAUAAAGAUUAAAAUAAUUCUUUUUUUUUAUUUACAUUAAUUUAUGAGUUUUAUGAUCCAAUUUUAUUGAUUAAAAGAUUAAGUUACCUUAGGGAUAACAGCGUAAUUUUUUUAGAGAGUUCUUAUCGAUAAAAAAGUUUGCGACCUCGAUGUUGGAUUAAAGAUUAUUUUAGGUGCAGAAGUUUAAAAAUUUUGGUCUGUUCGACCAUUAAAUCUUUACAUGAUCUGAGUUCAGACCGGUGUAAGCCAGGUCGGUUUCUAUCUUUAGUAAAUUAAAAUAUUUUAGUACGAAAGGACCAAUUAUUUAAUAUAUUAAUAUUUAUAAUUUUUGUUUAUUAUUAAA
rnacentral:rRNA from 4 species